rnacentral:rRNA from 2 species
CUUUACUGUAGUCUGAUAUUGAAAUUCGGCACAGCUUGUACAGGAUAGGUAGGAGCCUGAGAUGCGUGAGCGCUAGCUUACGUGGAGGCGUUGGUGGGAUACUACCCUCGCUGUGUUGGAUUUCUAACCCGCACCAUUUAUCAUGGUGGGAGACAGUGUCAGAUGGGCAGUUUGACUGGGGCGGUCGCCUCCUAAAGAGUAACGGAGGCGCUCAAAGGUUUCCUCAGAAUGGUUGGAAAUCAUUCAUAGAGUGUAAAGGCAUAAGGAAGCUUGACUGCGAGACUUACAAGUCGAGCAGGGUCGAAAGACGGACUUAGUGAUCC